GGCCUCCCAAUGCUUACCACAGGUGCUGUUCUUUACACUGACUGUAUAGAAAGAGGAGGUACAGUAAAUGCUGCCCAUAAACACCUCAAACCAGGCUCUUUGCCUGGUCUGUAUUGUGAAUAGGGGAACAAAA